rnacentral:miRNA from 1 species
CUGGUUCUUCUGUCUAAUACUGUCUGGUAAUGCCGUCCAUUCCCGG